GUUGACCUCGGAUCAGGUAGGAAUACCCGCUGAACUUAAGCAUAUCAAAAGGCCGGAGGA
rnacentral:rRNA from 1 species